UACAGAGGUCUCAAGCGUUGUUCGGAUUCAUUGGGCGUAAAGGGCGCGUAGGCGGCGUGACAAGUCACUUGUGAAAUCUCCGGGCUUAACUCGGAACGGUCAAGUGAUACUGUCGUGCUAGAGUACAGAAGGGGCAACUGGAAUUCCCGGUGUAGCGGUGAAAUGCGCAGAUAUCGGGAGGAACACCAAUGGCGAAGGCAGCUCGCUGGGACGUUACUGACGCUGAGACGCGAAAGCGUGGGAGCAAACAGG
rnacentral:rRNA from 1 species